rnacentral:snoRNA from 1 species
UGGACCAGUGAUGACAACUGCCGGCGUAUGAGUCCUGCAAGAUGAAUAAUAUGUAUCUGAAACUCUGAGGUCCAA